UACGUAGGGUCCGAGCGUUGUCCGGAGUUACUGGGCGUAAAGGGCGCGCAGGUGGCGGUGCUGGCCCGGCGUGAAAGCCCCCGGCUCAACCGGGGAGGGUCGUCGGGGACCGCACCGCUUGAGGGCGGUAGGGGCUGGUGGAAUGCCUGGUGUAGUGGUGAAAUGCGUAGAGAUCAGGCGGAACACCCGUAGCGAAGGCGGCCAGCUGGGCCGACCCUGACACUGAGGCGCGAAGGCGUGGGGAGCGAACGGG
rnacentral:rRNA from 2 species